rnacentral:tRNA from 1 species
GCCCGCGGUGGCUCAGAUGGAUAGAGCGUCUGCCAUGUAAGCAGAAGAUCCCGGGUUCGAGUCCCGGUCGGGGCA